GUCUCUGUGGCGCAAUCGGUUAGCGCCUUCGGCUGUUAACCGAGAGGUUCGUGGUUUGAGUUCACGAAGGGAAG
rnacentral:tRNA from 1 species